CUUGACGAUCAUAGAGCGUUGGAACCACCUGAUCCCUUCCCGAACUCAGAAGUGAAACGACGCAUCGCCGAUGGUAGU
rnacentral:rRNA from 1 species